GAAAUGCGAUACGUAAUGUGAAUUGCAGGAAUCUGUGAAUCAUCAAAAUUUUGAACGCAAGUUGCAGCUCUGUUGAGGAGCUAUAUCUAUUUCAGUGUUGGUAAAAACAAAAAUCACAAAAAAUACUUUUGUGGAAAUGAAUGUAUAAGUAAAUUUAUACUUAUUCAUUUGAAUAUUAUUGAUAAGUUUACUUUUACUGUUAGUUUUAUAUCUAAUAAAAAAGUUUUACUUUCAUAAACAAGCAAUAUAUUUUAUAAAAAAUCAACCUGAAAUUAGGUAAGAAUACCCGCUGAACUUAA
rnacentral:misc_RNA from 1 species